CUCUAAGCCUUGGCACAGAGAUGCAAUCUCCAGUUUCUGUUCCGUCAUUUCAGUAUCAAAGUCCAAACCUAAUUUUGACUUCGUUGUUGAGUCCACAUGUUCCUGUAUUGGGGAAGUGGACAUUAUCCAGUGAAAGUGAUGAAAAUAAGGUGUUGAGAAAUUCUGAAUGCUUGUCUACCUUUUCUGGGGGCAACCAUAACCCCAUCAAAACAGAGGUUUCCUGUAAUCCUCAGUGCUUUGAUGCCCACAAAGAUGUUCAUACUGAUACAUAUAUGGACGGAACUUCUGGUUAUGCUAAUGCUAUCUCAAACUCUAAAUACCUCAAGGCAGCACAACAACUGCUUGAUGAAGUGGUUAAUGU
rnacentral:misc_RNA from 1 species